rfam:Brassica napus, WGS project CCCW01000000 data, contig: 3133
AGAAUAUAAAAAACUGUCUCUUAACUUUUAACUAAAACAACUAAGAACCGGCUCUUAAAUAUCUUAUAUAAGAGCCGGUUCUUAACUUUUUUUUAGUUAAAAGUUAAGAGAUAGUUUCUUAUAUUCC